rnacentral:rRNA from 1 species
CCUACGGGGGGCAGCAGUGGGGAAUAUUGCACAAUGGGCGUAAGCCUGAUGCAGCCAUGCCGCGUGUGUGAAGAAGGCCUUCGGGUUGUAAAGCACUUUCAGCGGGGAGGAAGGCGGUGAGGUUAAUAACCUCAUCGAUUGACGUUACCCGCAGAAGAAGCACCGGCUAACUCCGUGCCAGCAGCCGCGGUAAUACGGAGGGUGCAAGCGUUAAUCGGAAUUACUGGGCGUAAAGCGCACGCAGGCGGUCUGUCAAGUCGGAUGUGAAAUCCCCGGGCUCAACCUGGGAACUGCAUUCGAAACUGGCAGGCUAGAGUCUUGUAGAGGGGGGUAGAAUUCCAGGUGUAGCGGUGAAAUGCGUAGAGAUCUGGAGGAAUACCGGUGGCGAAGGCGGCCCCCUGGACAAAGACUGACGCUCAGGUGCGAAAGCGUGGGGAGCAAACAGGAUUAGAUACCCCUGUAGUC